CGAUUUAGCAAAAGUCAUUGACUCUAAAGCGCUCACCUGUGUACAAGGCUUCAAGUAUGUUUAUUUUAGUACAGACUUAGGUUUCUUCUAUGUUAGCCUUUAUUAUGUACACGUUACACACAUUUUGAACCAAGUGCAAUAAUUUGAACAAUUACGGUAGAAAUUACAAGUCAGAUAUCACAUGCCAAAUAUCAAGGUUCUAGCUAUUAUUGAUUUUCAAAAGUGACCUCGCCCACUGGCGGCCGUGUUUUUUACGAAUCAGAAAAAUUUGAACAACAUUUGAAGAAGGUCACACAAGAACAGUUACUAUUUGUGUAAAAUUAUUUCAAAAUCUGGCUAGCAGUUUCACACAAGAAGAUUUUUAAAGGAUCCACUAUACACAUAGAGGAAGAAGUGACUACGCCUUCUAAUGCCCCUGUUUUUUGACGAAUCGGUAUAAUUUGAACAAUCUUGGUAGAGGGUCACACAAGGACCAUUUGUGUAAAUUUAUUUUAAAAUUGGGCCAGCAGUUUCAUACAAGAAGAUUUUUAAGAUUUCCACCAUAUAUAUAUUGACGAAUCAAAAUGAUUUGAACAAUCUUGGUAGAGGGUCACACAAGGACCAUUUGUGUAGGCAUUUACCUAGAGCAUUUUAUUUUCAAGGGAAAUAAUUGUGGUCUUACUGUAUUAUUUUGAAAAUCACAGUUCAGAUUUUUUUAUGUGUGCACCCGUACAGUUUUGCGGGGAAGCGAAAGUUGCCAUGGAAUUUUGUCUUCUUCUAAAAACAAGUGUCUGAUACAUGUAGUUGCAGUCUGUCUUUGGAAGCUGUAGAAAUAACAAGAAAGAGGCUGACAUAGUGUUUUGGUAGGGAAAAGUUUGAGUAUGUACAUGUACAGUUGUUUGACCUGUCUUACCCUGUGGCAGUCCAAGAAGAUGUUACCAUUAUGAAAAAUGCAGGAGAACUUGAAGAGAAUGGUUAGUGCAGAAGGGACAUAAAAGUUGUGACAAACGUAACAGAUAUAGAUAAGAAGUGCUACAAGUGUGUUGUCAUGUGAAAUGAAAUUUACCCCAGCUGUGCUGCAAGAUGUAUAUUCAAGUGCGAGACAGCCAUGCACCAGCUGUAAACUGAGAUGGACCCAUAUAAUAAAUAUGUUGACUUUUCUAUGUAUUAUCAUCUGUACAGAAUGUGUUCAUGACAAGACUGUAUUCAUAUAUUGUUAAAUCAUUUUUUUUUCCAUUAUUGCAUGCAUGUAAGAAGCAAGCAUUUAACAAUUGCAUUCACAGAAGUGUUAAAAUGUGAUCAAUCUAAUUUAAAGAAACACAUUUAAUUGGACUUUUUAAGUUUCAUAGUAUUUGUGGUGGAGACUGACCCAGUCAUUCAGCAACUUAUACUGUCUGUGUGUCAUUUCUUGUAUGUUAUAUUUUUCUUAAUAAAUGUCAAAGUUAUGGUAAGAUGAACUCAUUCAUCACUUGUAGAUUAAUGUUAAAGCAGUUCAACAUUUUACCAUAAGUUAACUAAUAUUCUAUUUAACCAGAGUUGUCACAUAUUUUCAUAUACAUAUUUGUAUAAUACAGUCUAAUCUAAUCUACAUAUGAUGUUCCACAAUUUUUUAGUUAUAUUUUAUGUUGAUAUUUUAUGUUGUUUUCAUGUCUCGACAUAUAAUUACUAACAUCAAAGAAACUUAAGUAUUUUACAAUUUGGUUGGUAUAAAUGGUUGUUUUGUUUAUAUAUUUUAUUUUUUUCCAUCCAGGAGAAUAAAGAAAUAUACAUUUCAAAAUAUCUCAUCAUUCCAGAUAAGUACACUACAUAAUCAAGAUAAACGAAAUAAGAACAAAAUAUGUUGGUGGAAUUUUAUUUUCAAAAAUUUGAUAUACAGUCUUUGUAGUAUUUACUUCUUUAGAUAUGUUGGACUGAAAUGGGAAUAACAACAUACUUUAAAUUUUUGUAGUCAUAAGUUAAUAUUGGAAUUAUCAACUUAACUUAAAAAGAUUUGAUUUCACUGUUAUGCCAUCUGAGCUUUAAUAUUUUUCAACAUUGUCCUUGGCAACAAGGCUCAAAAUUAUUUGUUGUGUAUACCUUGCAUUCAUGUGUGAUAAAUGCUAUUAUGGAAUUCUUUAAUAAAAUUUAUGUUUUCAUCUUACCAUGGAUUAAAAAAAUAUAUAAAUUUAUUUGUCUGAAAAUUAAGGUAAAAAUACUGACUGAUUAAACUGCAAUAUAAGAAAGCUUAUUUGAAAUAAAGGGAGGUAAUUCCAUAAAAAAUAUGUAGAAUGUAGAUGAUAAAUAUAAUGAAGGGAGGUAAUAAAACAUUGUGAAGUUAUUAGUCUUCAUUUCUUUGAUGAGCUAAUUAAUUGUUUUACAUUUUGGUUUAUUAACUACAAGUAUGACCUAACAUGUGUACCUGUCCUGAAGGAAAAUAAUAUAGGUUGUUUGAUGUCCUUGUACUGUUAAGUUGUUCCUGUAUUUGUUUACAUUCCAUGUCUGAAUGAAAUGAAGAAACAGACUUUAAUGAGGGUAUCCCGGGAAAAUACCUAACUUUAUUUUUAUAUCAGCAAAUUUGAU